rnacentral:rRNA from 1 species
AGUGAACGCUGGCGGUAGGCCUAACACAUGCAAGUCGAACGGCAGCACAGUAAGAGCUUGCUCUUACGGGUGGCGAGUGGCGGACGGGUGAGGAAUACAUCGGAAUCUACUUUUUCGUGGGGGAUAACGUAGGGAAACUUACGCUAAUACAGCAUACGACCUACGGGUGAAAGCAGGGGAUCUUCGGACCUUGCGCGAUUGAAUGAGCCGAUGUCGGAUUAGCUAGUUGGCGGGGUAAAGGCCCACCAAGGCGACGAUCCGUAGCUGGUCUGAGAGGAUGAUCAGCGACACUGGAACUGAGACACGGUCCAGACUCCUACGGGAGGCAGCAGUGGGGAAUAUUGGACAAUGGGCGCAAGCCUGAUCCAGCCAUACCGCGUCGGUGAAGAAGGCCUUCGGGUUGUAAAGCCCUUUUGUUGGGAAAGAAAAGCAGCAGGUUAAUACCCCGCUGUUCUGACGGUACCCAAAGAAUAAGCACCGGCUAACUUCGUG